UACGUAGGGUGCAAGCGUUAAUCGGAAUUACUGGGCGUAAAGGGCGCGUAGGCGGCAAUUCAAGUCAUCUGUGAAAUCUCCGGGCUUAACUCGGAACGGUCAGGUGAUACUGCUUUGCUAGAGUGCAGAAGGGGCAAUCGGAAUUCUUGGUGUAGCGGUGAAAUGCGUAGAUAUCAAGAGGAACACCUGAGGUGAAGACGGGUUGCUGGGCUGACACUGACGCUGAGGCGCGAAAGCUAGGGGGAGCAAACGGG
rnacentral:rRNA from 1 species